rnacentral:rRNA from 1 species
AACGAACGCUGGCGGCAGGCCUAACACAUGCAAGUCGAGCGCGCCCUUCGGGGUGAGCGGCGGACGGGUGAGUAACGCGUGGGAACGUGUCCUUUUCUACGGAAUAGCCUCGGGAAACUGAGAGUAAUACCGUAUACGCCCUUUGGGGGAAAGAUUUAUCGGAAAAGGAUCGGCCCGCGUUGGAUUAGGUAGUUGGUGGGGUAAUGGCCUACCAAGCCGACGAUCCAUAGCUGGUUUGAGAGGAUGAUCAGCCACACUGGGACUGAGACACGGCCCAGACUCCUACGGGAGGCAGCAGUGGGGAAUCUUAGACAAUGGGGGCAACCCUGAUCUAGCCAUGCCGCGUGAGUGAUGAAGGCCUUAGGGUUGUAAAGCUCUUUCAGCUGGGAAGAUAAUGACGGUACCAGCAGAAGAAGCCCCGGCUAACUCCGUG